AACGCUUAGCAGUGGAUCACUUGGCUUGUGCGUCAAUGAAGAAAGCAGGUAGCUGCGAGAACUAAUGUGAAUUGCAGGAUUGAUCAUCGACACUACGAACGCAUAUUGCUACCCCAGGCUCCUCCCGGGGCUACACCUGUCUGAGGGUUG
ensembl:rRNA 5_8S_rRNA 5.8S ribosomal RNA